UACGUAGGGUGCAAGCGUUAAUCGGAAUUACUGGGCGUAAAGCGUGCGCAGGCGGUUGUGCAAGACCGAUGUGAAAUCCCCGGGCUUAACCUGGGAAUGGCAUUGGUGACUGCACGGCUAGAGUGUGUCAGAGGGGGGUAGAAUUCCACGUGUAGCAGUGAAAUGCGUAGAGAUGUGGAGGAAUACCGAUGGCGAAGGCAGCCCCCCUGGGAUAACACUGACGCUCAUGGCACGAAAGCGUGGGGAGCAAACAGG
rnacentral:rRNA from 1 species